rnacentral:rRNA from 1 species
UACGUAGGGGGCUAGCGUUGUCCGGAAUUAUUGGGCGUAAAGAGCUUGUAGGCGGUUUGUCGCGUCUGCUGUGAAAAUCCGGGGCUCAACCCCGGACUUGCAGUGGGUACGGGCAGACUGGAGUGUGGUAGGGGAGACUGGAAUUCCUGGUGUAGCGGUGGAAUGCGCAGAUAUCAGGAGGAACACCGAUGGCGAAGGCAGGUCUCUGGGCAUUAACUGACGCUGAGGAGCGAAAGCAUGGGGAGCGAACAGG